UGGGCGCGUAGCUCAGUUGGUUAGAGCGCUACGUUGACAUCGUAGAGGUCACAGGUUCGAAUCCUGUCGCGCCCAU
rnacentral:tRNA from 2 species